rnacentral:rRNA from 1 species
AGCUUGCUCCCUGAUGUUAGCGGCGGACGGGUGAGUAACACAUGGGUAACCUGCCUGUAAGACUGGGAUAACUCCGGGAAACCGGGGCUAAUACCGGAUGCUUGUUUGAACCGCAGGGUUCAAACAUAAAAGGUGGCUUCAGCUACCACUUACAGAUGGACCCGCGGCGCAUUAGCUAGUUGGUGAGGUAAUGGCUCACCAAGGCAACGAUGCGUAGCCGACCUGAGAGGGUGAUCGGCCACACUGGGACUGAGACACGGCCCAGACUCCUACGGGAGGCAGCAGUAGGGAAUCUUCCGCAAUGGACGAAAGUCUGACGGAGCAACUCCGCGUGAGUGAUGAAGGUUUUCGGAUCGUAAAGCUCUGUUGUUAGGGAAGAACAAGUACCGUUCGAAUAGGGCGGUACCUUGACGGUACCUAACCAGAAAGCCACGGCUAACUACGUGCCAGCAGCCGCGGUAAUACGUAGGUGGCAAGCGUUGUCCGGAAUUAUUGGGCGUAAAGGGCUCGCAGGCGGUUUCUUAAGUCUGAUGUGAAAGCCCCCGGCUCAACCGGGGAGGGUCAUUGGAAACUGGGGAACUUGAGUGCAGAAGAGGAGAGUGGAAUUCCACGUGUAGCGGUGAAAUGCGUAGAGAUGUGGAGGAACACCAGUGGCGAAGGCGACUCUCUGGUCUGUAACUGACGCUGAGGAGCGAAAGCGUGGGGAGCGAACAGGAUUAGAUACCCUGGUAGUCCACGCCGUAAACGAUGAGUGCUAAGUGUUAGGGGGUUUCCGCCCCUUAGUGCUGCAGCUAACGCAUUAAGCACUCCGCCUGGGGAGUACGGUCGCAAGACUGAAACUCAAAGGAAUUGACGGGGGCCC